CCUAAAAUCCAGCCCGAACAAUUCACAUGCCCUCAACCACCACUUCGUCUUAUGAUAAAACAUUUUUAUAUUAUAGUACAGGUGAUCGAAAAAUUUCUAGGCGCUUUAGAUAGAGUACCGCAAGGAAAAAAUGAAAUAGUAAUGAAAUAAUCUUCAAGCCCAAAAUAGCAGAGAUAAUCCCUCGUACCUUUUGCAUCAUGGUCUAGCCAGUCUCCCCAGGCAAAAUGAAAAUUUUAGUCUGAUCCCCCGAAACUAAGCGAGCUACUUCGAAACAGCCCUAAGAGCCAACCCGUCUCUGUUGCAAAAGAGUGGGAAGAUUUUUAAGUAGAGGUGACAAGCCUAACGAGCUUAGAGAUAGCUGGUUAUCCAGGAAAAGAGUAUUAGCUCAGCCUUAAAUUUUUUUGUUCCAUUUAACAUUAUACUAAAUUUAAGAGUUAUUCAAAUAAGGUACAGCUUAUUUGAAACGGGACACAACCCUAAACACUGGGUAAACAAAGUUCUUAAAUAAAGUGGGCCUAAAAGCAGCCACCUUCAAAAAAGCGUUAAAGCUUAAUAUUCCCCCAAAUUCCAUAACCAAAUCUUAACCCUUCAGUAAUACUGGAUUAUUUUAUACCCCUAUAAAAGUCAUUAUGCUAGAACUAGUAACAAGAAAUUGCCUUUCUCCAAAAUGCAUGUUUAAGCCAAAUAGGACCCACCAUUGGCAGUUAACAUAAAUGUAUAAAUCAGAGCAACCCCUACCAGAGAACCCUCAGACUUCUAGUGUCAACCUAACACCAGAGCAUUACAGGAAAGAUUAAAAGAGGAAGAAGGAACUCGGCAAAUCAUAGUCCCGCCUGUUUACCAAAAACAUCGCCUCCUGCCAAAUAUAGGAGGUCCAGCCUGCCCAGUGACAAAGUUCAACGGCCGCGGUACCCUAACCGUGCGAAGGUAGCAUAAUCACUUGUUCUUUAAAUGAGGACUAGUAUCAACGGCACCACGAGGACUCUACUGUCUCCUCCCUCCAAUCAGUGAAACUGAUCCUCCCGUGAAGAAGCGGGGAUUAUUCUAUAAGACGAGAAGACCCCAUGGAGCUUUAAACCCAAUAGGCAUCUCUGCAAACUUAAACCUCCUUAGCCUUAGAGCCCUGCACUAUUAGUUUUAGGCUGGGGUGACCGCGGAGUAAAACUAAACCUCCACGACAAACGGGCUAACGCCCUGAUCUACGAACCACACUUCUAAGAGCCAAUAUAUUGUUGUCCAAUGACCCAAUUAUAUGAUCAACGAACCAAGUUACCCUGGGGAUAACAGCGCAAUCUACUUCAAGAGCCCCUAUCGACAAGUAGGUUUACGACCUCGAUGUUGGAUCAGGGUAUCCCAGUGG
rnacentral:rRNA from 1 species